AACGAACGCUGGCGGCAUGCCUAACACAUGCAAGUCGAACGAAGCCUUCGGGCUUAGUGGCGCACGGGUGCGUAACACGUGGGAAUCUGCCCUUUGGUUCGGAAUAACAGUUAGAAAUGACUGCUAAUACCGGAUAAUGACGUAAGUCCAAAGAUUUAUCGCCGAAGGAUGAGCCCGCGUAGGAUUAGGUAGUUGGUGGGGUAAUGGCCCACCAAGCCGACGAUCCUUAGCUGGUCUGAGAGGAUGAUCAGCCACACUGGGACUGAGACACGGCCCAGACUCCUACGGGAGGCAGCAGUGGGGAAUAUUGGACAAUGGGCGAAAGCCUGAUCCAGCAAUGCCGCGUGAGUGAUGAAGGCCUUAGGUUGUAAAGCUCUUUUACCAGGGAUGAUAAUGACAGUACCUGGAGAAUAAGCUCCGGCUAACUCCGUGCCAGCAGCCGCGGUAAU
rnacentral:rRNA from 1 species